AGAGUUUGAUCCUGGCUCAGGAUGAACGCUGGCGGCGUGCUUGACACAUGCAAGUCGAACGGUGAACACGGAGCUUGCUCUGUGGGAUCAGUGGCGAACGGGUGAGUAACACGUGAGCAACCUGCCCCUGACUCUGGGAUAAGCGCUGGAAACGGCGUCUAAUACUGGAUAUGUGACGUGACCGCAUGGUCCGCGUCUGGAAAGAAUUUCGGUUGGGGAUGGGCUCGCGGCCUAUCAGCUUGUUGGUGAGGUAAUGGCUCACCAAGGCGUCGACGGGUAGCCGGCCUGAGAGGGUGACCGGCCACACUGGGACUGAGACACGGCCCAGACUCCUACGGGAGGCAGCAGUGGGGAAUAUUGCACAAUGGGCGCAAGCCUGAUGCAGCAACGCCGCGUGAGGGACGACGGCCUUCGGGUUGUAAACCUCUUUUAGCAGGGAAGAAGCGAAAGUGCCGGUACCUGCAGAAAAAGCGCCGGCUAACUACGUGCCAGCAGCCGCGGUAAUACGUAGGGCGCAAGCGUUAUCCGGAAUUAUUGGGCGUAAAGAGCUCGUAGGCGGUUUGUCGCGUCUGCUGUGAAAUCCGGAGGCUCAACCUCCGGCCUGCAGUGGGUACGGGCAGACUAGAGUGCGGUAGGGGAGAUUGGAAUUCCUGGUGUAGCGGUGGAAUGCGCAGAUAUCAGGAGGAACACCGAUGGCGAAGGCAGAUCUCUGGGCCGUAACUGACGCUGAGGAGCGAAAGGGUGGGGAGCAAACAGGCUUAGAUACCCUGGUAGUCC
rnacentral:rRNA from 1 species